GCGAUCGUAGCUCAGUCGGCUAGAGCACCUGGUUGUGGUCCAGGGGGUCGCGGGUUCGAAUCCCGUCGGUCGCC
rnacentral:tRNA from 1 species